GAUGAACGCUAGCGGCAGGCUUAACACAUGCAAGUCGAGGGGCAGCAUACCCAGCAAUGGGUGAUGGCGACCGGCGGAAGGGUGCGUAACGCGUGAGCAACAUGCCCAUAUCAGUGGGAUAAUCCAGGGAAACUUGGUCUAAUACCACAUAGUAUCUUUUAGAGACAUCUUUAGAAGAUUAAAGAUUUAUCGGAUAUGGAUUGGCUCGCGUGACAUUAGCUGGAUGGUAGGGUAACGGCCUACCAUGGCAAUGAUGUCUAGGGGUUCUGAGAGGAAGGUCCCCCACACUGGAACUGAGACACGGUCCAGACUCCUACGGGAGGCAGCAGUGAGGAAUAUUGGACAAUGGAUGGAAAUCUGAUCCAGCCAUGCCGCGUGCAGGAAGAAGGUCCUAUGGAUUGUAAACUGCUUUUGUACGGGAGCAAUAAGGGCUAUGCGUAGUUCGAUGAGAGUACCGUACGAAUAAGGAUCGGCUAA
rnacentral:rRNA from 1 species